rnacentral:rRNA from 1 species
UACGAGGGGGGCGAGCGUUGUUCGGAAUUCUUGGGCGUAAAGGGUGCGUAGGCGGUUUGGUAAGUCUGAUGUGAAAUCUAUGGGCUCAACUCAUAGUCUGCAUCGGAAACUGCCGGGCUUGAGUAUGGGAGAGGUGAGUGGAAUUCCUGGUGUAGCGGUGAAAUGCGCAGAUAUCAGGAGGAACACCGAUGGCGAAGGCAGGUCUCUGGGCAUUAACUGACGCUGAGGAGCGAAAGCAUGGGGAGCGAACAGG